UACGGAGGGUGCAAGCGUUGUUCGGAAUCAUUGGGCGUAAAGAGCGCGCAGGCGGCUUGGUAAGUCGGAUGUGAAAUCCCGAGGCUCAACCUCGGGUCUGCAUCCGAUACUGCCCGGCUAGAGGUAGGUAGGGGAGAUCGGAAUUCCUGGUGUAGCGGUGAAAUGCGCAGAUAUCAGGAGGAACACCGGUGGCGAAGGCGGAUCUCUGGGCCUUACCUGACGCUCAGGCGCGAAAGCUAGGGGAGCGAACUGG
rnacentral:rRNA from 1 species